rnacentral:rRNA from 1 species
CUGGAGGUAUCAGAAGUGCGAAUGCUGACAUAAGUAACGAUAAAGCGGGUGAAAAGCCCGCUCGCCGGAAGACCAAGGGUUCCUGUCCAACGUUAAUCGGGGCAGGGUGAGUCGACCCCUAAGGCGAGGCCGAAAGGCGUAGUCGAUGGGAAACAGGUUAAUAUUCCUGUACUUGGUGUUACUGCGAAGGGGGGACGGAGAAGGCUAUGUUGGCCGGGCGACGGUUGUCCCGGUUUAAGCGUGUAGGCUGGUUUUCCAGGCAAAUCCGGAAAAUCAAGGCUGAGGCGUGAUGACGAGGCACUACGGUGCUGAAGCAACAAAUGCCCUGCUUCCAGGAAAAGCCUCUAAGCAUCAGGUAACAUCAAAUCGUACCCCAAACCGACACAGGUGGUCAGGUAGAGAAUACCAAGGCGCUUGAGAGAACUCGGGUGAAGGAACUAGGCAAAAUGGUGCCGUAACUUCGGGAGAAGGCACGCUGAUAUGUAGGUGAAGUCCCUCGCGGAUGGAGCUGAAAUCAGUCGAAGAUACCAGCUGGCUGCAACUGUUUAUUAAAAACACAGCACUGUGCAAACACGAAAGUGGACGUAUACGGUGUGACGCCUGCCCGGUGCCGGAAGGUUAAUUGAUGGGGUUAGCCGCAAGGCGAAGCUCUUGAUCGAAGCCCCGGUAAACGGCGGCCGUAACUAUAACGGUCCUAAGGUAGCGAAAUUCCUUGUCGGGUAAGUUCCGACCUGCACGAAUGGCGUAAUGAUGGCCAGGCUGUCUCCACCCGAGACUCAGUGAAAUUGAACUCGCUGUGAAGAUGCAGUGUACCCGCGGCAAGACGGAAAGACCCCGUGAACCUUUACUAUAGCUUGACACUGAACAUUGAGCCUUGAUGUGUAGGAUAGGUGGGAGGCUUUGAAGUGUGGACGCCAGUCUGCAUGGAGCCGACCUUGAAAUACCACCCUUUAAUGUUUGAUGUUCUAACGUUGACCCGUAAUCCGGGUUGCGGACAGUGUCUGGUGGGUAGUUUGACUGGGGCGGUCUCCUCCUAAAGAGUAACGGAGGAGCACGAAGGUUGGCUAAUCCUGGUCGGACAUCAGGAGGUUAGUGCAAUGGCAUAAGCCAGCUUGACUGCGAGCGUGACGGCGCGAGCAGGUGCGAAAGCAGGUCAUAGUGAUCCGGUGGUUCUGAAUGGAAGGGCCAUCGCUCAACGGAUAAAAGGUACUCCGGGGAUAACAGGCUGAUACCGCCCAAGAGUUCAUAUCGACGGCGGUGUUUGGCACCUCGAUGUCGGCUCAUCACAUCCUGGGGCUGAAGUAGGUCCCAAGGGUAUGGCUGUUCGCCAUUUAAAGUGGUACGCGAGCUGGGUUUAGAACGUCGUGAGACAGUUCGGUCCCUAUCUGCCGUGGGCGCUGGAGAACUGAGGGGGGCUGCUCCUAGUACGAGAGGACCGGAGUGGACGCAUCACUGGUGUUCGGGUUGUCAUGCCAAUGGCACUGCCCGGUAGCUAAAUGCGGAAGAGAUAAGUGCUGAAAGCAUCUAAGCACGAAACUUGCC